UCUUUCUCUUUCUCGGUUUCCUCCUCCUCCUCUCUCCAGUCCAGUCUCCUUUCCGUUUCCUCGAUUCCAGCCGGGAGAGGAGGGGCGGCGCAACGCAGAGAUGGCGACGACGACGCUACAGGAGCUCAAGGAUAUCUUCUUCGGGCAUGUGCUGGGCAAGAAGGGGGAGGCUGUCCAAGAGCUGGAGGUCUCCAUACGUGCCAAGGGAAAUGUGACUCCUGCGGAGGAUGUCAUUCUCCGGCUUAGCACGGUCUUCUCGAACUUUACCUACACUGUGACCGCUGCGGCAACAACUGUCCUUACAUCGUUUGCUACUGGUCAAGUACAAAAAUUUGGUGGGGGUCCACCUCUGCCUCGAUUUGUAAGGUUCGGCAUAUGUGCUGGUGGUGGUUUGGUUACAGGGAAGGUGCUAUAUUAUGUAUCCUUGCAUGCGUUUGCUGAAUUUAUAUUGGCCCAUAAAGAGGAGAAACGCUUGAAAAUGGAGUUAGCUAAUAUGUGCGAAUACUUACUAACCAUAGUGAUGAGAAAUUCUUGGUUCAAGCUGUACAAAAGCAUUUCUUUGCCGAGCAUCUCUACAGUGAUCAACAUCAAGAUAAACCACUUUUCAGGUGGCGCCAGCGUCACUCGUAUGUUGACAGCACCUAUAUGGAAAGGUUGAAGGAGAUUGAAGCAAACAACUCUGAAGAUAAAGUUAAAACAAUUUCUGGCCAGGCAGCGAGAUCAUUUGGAGAUCUCAUGGAGGACCCACUGGCUUGUAUACUGGGUUCUCCAGACAGCAAUAUGGGGAGCGAUAAGCCCCCUGAGCACAAAGCUACUAUCCUCAGGAGAAGAGACUUGCGAGCUCAGAGGAGAAGUCAGCGGCAUCAUCAUCGGCAUGCUACAUUGUGAAGAUAUUUGAUUUAGACCGCUCGCUUUUGAAGCUUGAGCCUCAUCUUGAUCAUGAUGGACCACAACAGUGUGCCUUCACUUUGUUAUUCGACAAAACAUUGCAGAUGUUGUGGAAAAUGUCAAAGAACAUCCUGAGUUUGCCUCCAAUCCUGUUUUGGUCUGACCUGAAGGUGUGAUCUCUGGUUCUCUGUUUGUGGCCCUCUCACAUUGCGUGCUACAAAGGGACUUGCAAUUCUUCACAUAUGACGUUUGGCAGUUUGUGUUGCCUGAAACUUUCGUCUCUGGUUAUCGGUCAUGUGGUACUCUCCUCAACGAACAUUCGUACUUGGAGAAAAUCGUAUUGCCUGAAAUUCGUUUUCUUGUGAUGGCUUGUCGAAGGAAGACGAUGCUUGUAAUUAUCUACUGUGAUGUUCUGUAUGGACUGACGCAUCCGGCCAAUUUCUCUAGAAUGCUCCUUUUGAAAAGCUCUGCUCUACUGUUUUCUGUGCAA